GCGGUGAGCAGAAGACGUGCCAUUGCACUCCAGCCUGGGCAACAAGAGCAAAACUCCAUCUCAAAAAAAAAAAGAAAAAAAAAAGGAGAUAGAGGUUGUAGUGAGCUGAGAUCAUGCCAUUGCACUCCAGCCUGGGUAACAAGAGUGAAAAUCAUCUCAAGGAAAAAAAGAAAAAGAAAAUGGAGGCUCAGUGGUCACUGCCGCCACUCAGCAUCAGCAAUGCAACGAAUGCAUUCUUGGCUGCAACAUUAAAACUGCCAGGGUGGAGUGAGGAAACAGGUUACGAUUAAGGAACAAGACGCUUACUACAGAAAUCAUGUAAAUAUGAGAAGAGUUGGAGAUAAAGGGGUUCACAGGAAGAAAGGAGAUCACUAAAUGCAGUAGCCUGGAAUGGCCUGAUGAAAACCAGAGGGAUGGUGAAAUCCAAGGAUCUCUGUGUACCUGAAUCCUAAAGAGGGGACGGUGGUGGGGAUGCUUGUGGAACAGUCUAUGGAGUGUGCUAAGAGGAAACUAAAGUCAAAUGUCAUGUUGGCUUUGGGGGCUGUUCUAGACUAGCAGAGCCAGAAGUCAGAAAAAUGUAUUGCAAUUUAGGUCCGUAAGGUUACCACGUGUUUGUUUCCGGGUAGUCUAUUAGAACUGAGAAUAGGCAGGGUGCGGUGGCUCACACCUGUAAUCCCACUGGAAGACACAUCUUUAAAUAAUAAAGACUGAAGGACACUGGGCAUGGAGACUCAUGCCUGUAAUCCCAGCACUUUAGGAGGCCAAGGCGAGAGGACUGCUUGAGCCCAGGAGUUCGAGCCUAGCUUGGGCAACAUAGCAAGACACUACCUCUAUAAAAUAAAACUUUUAAUUAAAAAAAAAAUGACUGAAGGGAAAGGCAGAGUGACAGCAAAUUCCAGUACCUGCAAUAGUGGACUGGAAAAGAAAUAACAGUCUCAUGAUCACACACUGGAAACAUAAUGGCAAGUGGGAAUGAGGCCAGGCAUGGUGGCUCACACUUGUAAUCCCAGCACUUUGGGAGCCUAAGGCGGGGAGAUCCCCUGAUGU
rnacentral:lncRNA from 1 species